rnacentral:misc_RNA from 1 species
GUUAAAGCCAAAACGUCGUACAAGAACACAAAAGCAAGCACCUAUACUAUAGAAGACAUCCUCAAGAGGAAUGAUCCUCAAGAAAGUAGUUCCAUCAAUAUUUCUAUUAACAUUGACCUAGCUUUCAACUCUCUCAAGAGUGUACUCAAUAAUCUCUUAUGAAAAUAAUCCAAGUCUAAAUGAGUUAUUCUCAUGUAUUUGUAGUCUUAGGCUAGCUAUAACAUAAAAGGCCCAAAACUGGCACUUCAAAAAUUUGAAAAACAACCCAAAUUGACUGCCUGUGUACUAUGUGAUGUAGCUUG